UAACAUUCACUGAUCGGUACACAGAAGCUUCUAGAUUCUCAGCGAAACAAUAUUUAAAAAAAAAAAAACCAAAAUGUUACGAGCAAUUUUAUUGUUAUCAAUAAUUGUAAUCAUUGGCUGCAUUUAUGCUGUUGCAGGCCAAGGAUGCGAUGGCCAUUGGUGUUCUGGGACUUCUCCUUGUGGUUGUGAUUAUUACGAAUGUACUGGACAACUCAACGGCAACUGCGUCAGAUCAGCACAUAAGCGUCCAUGGGGUCCUGUAAACGCUUAAUUCACCCGGAGAAAAAUUCCGCUCAAAAUUAAAUAGUAAUUACAACCAUAACCAAAAAUUGGCUAUCUCAAAUAAAAAGUUACAAUCCAUAAAAAAAA